rnacentral:lncRNA from 1 species
GUUCAAGUCCCCUUCUUACUUAAUUUGGUCUUUGCCCACAUCUCAAUCAGCAUGUCUCUAACAUUGUAAGUAUUCAAGAUGUCGGAUGAUAUUCUGAGAGAGAGAGACAGUAGGCCAUAAUAGCCUUGGCCAUAGUUUUGGCCCAUAGGGUGUUUAUGGGUAGGAUAGCCCGAUAAAGAUGUCACUUUUCCCCCUAAUUGAUUUAUAAAUUCAGUGAAACUUUAACCAAAAUCCCAAAGGAAUUUUUGUAUGAAUUUGAGAAGCCUAUAAAGUUUGUUUGGUAUGUAACUAUAACAAGGACAGUUUAAAAAAACGAGACUUAUCCCACCAGCUAUUAAAAUUUAGAAACUACUAUAGUUAAAAUUUUGCAAUUAUUAGCAAAAGAACAAAUAGAUAAAAUUAGAGAACCC